GUGAGUCAUCGAAUCUUUGAACGCAUCUCGCGCUCUUUGGUAUUCCGAAGAGCAUGUCUGUCUGAGUGUCACGAAACUCUCAACCUCCUUUCCUUUGUGAUCGGCUGGUUGGAUCAUGGGCGCUUGCCGGCCAGGUCGGCUCGCCUGAAAUGCAUUUGCGAUGUUGUGUCCUUGUGAGUUGGCCCGACUAGGCGUGAUGGUAACGACGUUCGUCUAGGAUCCCGCUUCGGCGAGGAGCCGCUCCUGUUGGGCGUUUGCCUUCGCAUGAACACUCAUAUCUUUGGUUUAGACCUCAGAUCAGGCAGGAUUACCCGCUGAACUUAAGCAUAUCAAUAAGCGGAGGA
rnacentral:misc_RNA from 1 species